rnacentral:tRNA from 1 species
GGUUGUGACUCAGUGGUAGAUCACUUGCCUCACAUGCUUGAGGACUGGGUUCGAUCCUCACCACCA